rnacentral:snRNA from 1 species
AGCUUUGCACAGUGGCAGUAUUGUAGCCAAUGAGGUUUAUCUGAGGUGCAAUUAUUGGUAGUUGAAGUUAGUCUAUCAUACGAGCAUAGAUUUAUACUUGAAUAUUAAUACUGCUGAAUCAAAAAAGAU